rnacentral:rRNA from 1 species
AUGAACGCUAGCUACAGGCUUAACACAUGCAAGUCGAGGGGAAACGGCAUCGAAAGCUUGCUUUUGAUGGGCGUCGACCGGCGCACGGGUGAGUAACGCGUAUCCAACCUGCCCAUCACUUGGGAAUAACCUUGCGAAAGUAAGACUAAUACCCAAUGAUAUCCCACGAAGGCAUCGGAAUGGGAUUAAAGAUUUAUCGGUGAUGGAUGGGGAUGCGUCUGAUUAGCUUGUUGGCGGGGUAACGGCCCACCAAGGCAACGAUCAGUAGGGGUUCUGAGAGGAAGGUCCCCCACAUUGGAACUGAGACACGGUCCAAACUCCUACGGGAGGCAGCAGUGAGGAAUAUUGGUCAAUGGGCGAGAGCCUGAACCAGCCAAGUAGCGUGCAGGAAGACGGCCCUAUGGGUUGUAAACUGCUUUUAUAAGGGAAUAAAGUGGGUCACGUGUGACUUUUUGCAUGUACCUUAUGAAUAAGGACCGGCUAAUUCCGUG